CAUAUUAUCUCACAAUUUAUCAUGGCAAAAUAUGUAUGCUUGGAAAACAAAGCAGUAUUUUCAGUCAAACAGAAUUUUCAUAAAACAUAAGAAUUCAUGCGAUUAGCAUCAUUUAAAGGAGAUAGCGGUUUUAGCAAAAUACAACAUUUCAUAAGGAUAUAUUCAAAAACCCAUUGUAAAACAAUGUAUGCUUUGGCCAGGCACGUUCAUAAAUGUCACGGCCCGCCUGUGCAGGGCACGUGACUAUCGGGCCCACAUGAGGGGGAAACACGAGGCUCCCCUGCCAGAUGUUGGCCGGUUCCGGGGCUUCACGCAAGCGUCCUUCACCCCUCACCGAUUUUGCUUCUCCCCAAAACGCAUAUGCAGGAUUUGGAAACACCCGCCUCAUAUACCCAGGCUCUGAAAUGAGCCUCAUGAUCAUGCUUCAAAUAUCAUUUUCAUAAAGUAU
rnacentral:lncRNA from 1 species